rnacentral:rRNA from 1 species
GAUGAACGCUGGCGGCGUGCCUAAUACAUGCAAGUCGAGCGAACAGACGAGGAGCUUGCUCCUCUGACGUUAGCGGCGGACGGGUGAGUAACACGUGGAUAACCUACCUAUAAGACUGGGAUAACUUCGGGAAACCGGAGCUAAUACCGGAUAAUAUAUUGAACCGCAGGGUUCAAUAGUGAAAGACGGUUUUGCUGUCACUUAUAGAUGGAUCCGCGCCGCAUUAGCUAGUUGGUAAGGUAACGGCUUACCAAGGCGACGAUGCGUAGCCGACCUGAGAGGGUGAUCGGCCACCCUGGAACUGGGACACGGUCCAGACUCCUGCGGGAGGCAGCAGUAGGGAAUCUUCCGCAAUGGGCGAAAGCCUGACGGAGCAACGCCGCGUGAGUGAUGAAGGUCUUCGGAUCGUAAAACUCUGUUAUUAGGGAAGAACAAAUGUGUACGUAACUAUGCACGUCUUGACGGUACCUAAUCAGAAAGCCACGGCUAACUACGUG